AUUGAUGAUACCGUUGACUUUUUCUCACAUGUUUGACCAUUCGUCUUAUUCCAAAAAUUUACGUAAUUGUAAUUUAUUUUGAUAUGAGUUGUUUUAUCACUCAUAGUACUUUAAGUGUGAUUUAUAUCUUAUAUAUUUGCAAAAAAAAAAUUGAAUAAGACGAAUGGUCAAAUAUGUAAGAAAAAAUUAACGGCGUCAUCUAUU
rnacentral:pre_miRNA from 1 species